CGCGUUUCACAAGGGAAAGUUGACUCAACAGCAUUUGAGAGAUAAUCUUUGACUUCACCUUAGACAUUCUCUUUGACUCCUUUCUUGCGAGAUAGAUUGUCUGCGGUCAAAAAAUAUAUCCUCCCCAGCCGCCUCUCCAUCUGAUGAAUCUAAAUUUGGGUGAUCAUCAGAAUUUUCCCCAAUUAACUGACUUUCUGAAGGUUUAACCACAGGCAGCUGCAAGGUCACUGGGCUCGGAUCCCAGUCUUGCAGAGGUCCAUCAUCCGAUUCAGUCUCUAAGUCAACAUCCAUCUCCUGUGAAGGGUCUGAUCCUGACGGCUGGGCUACAACAGGCUUUUAAAAAAAAGCUGCUGAAGUUUCUGGUGGAAGCCUCUAAAUCUCAGAACAAAGCAGCAAGUCUGGACAAUGGAGGCAGAAAUUCCAGGACUAACAGGUUUGUAUGCAGACCUCUUCUGAAGUCCAGGGAUUUUUUGCCCCUGUUUAAAACCCGUGAUUUAGUGCUGUCCGGAAGUGC
rnacentral:lncRNA from 11 species